rnacentral:rRNA from 1 species
AUGGAUGUCUCCAACGCUUUUCUUCAUGGUCACCUUGCGGAGCAGGUUUACUGUGGGCAGCCCACUGGUUUCGUCGACGCCACUCAUCCUGGCCAUGUGUGCUUGCUGUCUCGGUCUCUCUACGGCCUCAAGCAAGCCCCUCGCGCCUGGUACCAGCAUAUCGCCGGUUUUCUUCAGACACUGGGCUUCCAUGUGACUCGCUCGGAUGCCUCACUGUUCGUAUACCACCAUGGCGACACGACUGCUUACUUACUGCUCUAUGUCGACGACAUCAUCCCGAUGGCCUCCUCAACAGCCCUUCUUCAGCAGAUUACUCUUCGGCUGCGUGAUGAGUUUGAUAUCAAGGAUUUGGGUGCUCUCCACUACUUCCUUGGCAUUGAGGUCGCUCAGCGACCCAAUGGCUUCUUUCUCCAUCAGCAGAAGUAUGCGCAUGAACUUCUUGAGCGUGCCGUCAUGUUCAACUGUCAUCCUGUCGCUACUCCUGUUGAUACGAAGGCCAAGGUUUCUGCUCUCGAGGGUUCGCCAGCGUCGGACGGUCCAUUCUACCGGUCCAUUGUUGGUGCUCUCCAGUAUCUGACCUCACCCGAUCAGACUUGCAGUAUGUUAUCCAGCAGGUGUGUCUUCAUAUGCACGCCCCUCGUGACUCAUUGGACGCUCAUGAAACGGAUUCUCCGCUAUAUCCGCGGCACGAUGUCCCUUGGAAUCACCCUCACAAUGUCUUCCUCUAUGGAUAUGGUGGUCUAUUCUGAUGCUGAUUGGGCUGGCUGCCCCGACACACGUCGCUCCACUUCUGGCUACAACGUUUACAUCGGUCCCUCACUUGCCUCAUGGUCGUCCAAGCGACAACUGACAGUGUCGCGCUCUAGCGCGGAGCCCGAGUACCGCGCAGUGGCCAACGCCGUCGCCGAGUGCACCUGGCUUCGACAGCUACUUCAGGAGUUGCAUCACGACGUCUCACAUGCCACUGUUGUCUACUGUGACAAUGUUUUCGCGGUGUAUCUUUCCGCCAACCCUGUUCGUCAUCGCCGGACAAAGCACAGCGAGCUGGACAUUCACUUUAUGCACGAACAGAUAGCCCUUGGACGCAUUCGGGUUCUUCAUGUUCCGACCGCACAACAGUUUGCCGAUGUGAUGACUAAGGGCCUACUUCCACCUUUUAGGAGUUUCGUUCCAGUCUGCUCUGGCGACGCUUCGACUGCGGGGGUGCAUGGCCCAAACCUCUUCUACAUUGACGCCUCAACACUUAUUGCUAUACAUUUUUACUGCACUGGUGCAGUAGGGCUGCGAGCUAUACAUCUCCAGGGAUGA